rnacentral:rRNA from 1 species
UACGUAGGGUGCAAGCGUUGCCCGGAUUUAUUGGGCGUAAAGGGCGCGUAGGCGGCUCUGCACGUUCGUUGUGAAAUCGCCCGGCUCAACUGGGCGGGGUCAGCGGAUACGGCAGAGCUUGAGCAAGCUAGGGGGCAAUGGAAUUCCCGGUGUAGUGGUGGAAUGCGCAGAUAUCGGGAGGAACACCAAUGGCGAAAGCAGGUAACUGGACUAUUACUGACACUCAACUGCGAAAGCUAGGGGAGCAAACAGG